GAUGAACGCUGGCGGCGUGCUUAACACAUGCAAGUCGAACGGAAAGGCCCAAGCUUGCUUGGGUGCUCGAGUGGCGAACGGGUGAGUAACACGUGGGUGAUCUGCCCUGCACUUUGGGAUAAGCCUGGGAAACUGGGUCUAAUACCGGAUAGGACCAUCGUUUAGUGUCGGUGGUGGAAAGUUUUUCGGUGUGGGAUGAGCUCGCGGCCUAUCAGCUUGUUGGUGGGGUAAUGGCCUACCAAGGCGUCGACGGGUAGCCGGCCUGAGAGGGUGUACGGCCACAUUGGGACUGAGAUACGGCCCAGACUCCUACGGGAGGCAGCAGUGGGGAAUAUUGCACAAUGGGCGGAAGCCUGAUGCAGCAACGCCGCGUGCGGGAUGACGGCCUUCGGGUUGUAAACCGCUUUCGCCUGUGACGAAGCGUGAGUGACGGUAAUGGGUAAAGAAGCACCGGCUAACUACGUG
rnacentral:rRNA from 1 species